AGGUUGGAUUUGAAGAUCUGAAAGUCGAGCCUCGCAGCCACACACGUGUUGUUAGAUGUAUGCCCUAGAAGCCAAUUUUGGCUGACACAUUAUUAAUUCUAGGACAUAAUUUGUACUUGACUUUAUUAUUAUUGAAUAAAUGAAAGGCAUCUUUUUCAUUCAUAUUAUUAUUGUGUCUAUGAAUCGUCCAAAGAAUUAAUAAGAUGAUGAUGCAUAUUCUCAAGAGUUGAGAAUUUGAGCCAUGUAUCAUUAGUGAUUAAUUUCUGAACGCUCCUGAUCGAUGGAUCA
rnacentral:lncRNA from 1 species